rnacentral:rRNA from 1 species
GACGAACGCGGCGGCGUGCCUAUAUAUGCAAGUAGAACGCACAGGAUGCACCGUAGUUUACUACACCGUAUUCUGUGAGUUGCGAACGGGUGAGUAACGCGUAGGUAACCUGCCUGGUAGCGGGGGAUAACUAUUGGAAACGAUAGCUAAUACCGCAUAAGAACAUUUACUGCAUGGUAGAUGUUUAAAAGGUGCAAAUGCAUCACUACCAGAUGGACCUGCGUUGUAUUAGCUAGUUGGUGAGGUAACGGCUCACCAAGGCAACGAUACAUAGCCGACCUGAGAGGGUGAUCGGCCACACUGGGACUGAGACACGGCCCAGACUCCUACGGGAGGCAGCAGUAGGGAAUCUUCGGCAAUGGGGGGAACCCUGACCGAGCAACGCCGCGUGAGUGAAGAAGGUUUUCGGAUCGUAAAGCUCUGUUGUUAAGGAAGAACGUGUGUGAGAAG